rnacentral:rRNA from 1 species
UUCGGAGUGCUGGCGAGUGGCGAACGGGUGAGUAACACGUGGAUACCUGCCCCGGGGUGGGGGACAACAGCUGGAAACGGCUGCUAAUACCGCAUACGCCCCACGGGGGAAAGGCUUUGGUUGCCCUGGGAGGGGUCCGCGUUGGAUUAGCUAGUUGGUGAGGUAAAGGCUCACCAAGGCGACGAUCCAUAGCUGGUCUGAGAGGAUGAUCAGCCACACUGGGACUGAGACACGGCCCAGACUCCUACGGGAGGCAGCAGUGGGGAAUAUUGCGCAAUGGGGGAAACCCUGACGCAGCGAUACCGCGUGGGUGAAGAAGGCCUUAGGGUUGUAAAGCCCUUUCAGUGGGGGAAGAUAGUGGACGGUACCCACAGAAGAAGCUCCGGCUAACUCCGUGCCAGCAGCCGCGGUAAUACGGAGGGGGCAAGCGUUGUUCGGAAUUACUGGGCGUAAAGGGCGCGUAGGCUGUUUGACAAG